rnacentral:lncRNA from 1 species
GUAAAUUAUCUCCUUCAAAAAAACUACACUGCGACGUGGACGAGGUUCAGGCGAUUAAAGUGAUAUAAGAUACUUGGGGUCGCAAAUCACAAGCCUGGGCAGGGCGAAGGAGAAGAGCUGCAACAUCAUUGCAGAAAAAUUGCGCCGUUGACUGUUGAGUAAUUUAGUUUAACCAGUUCGACAAGGUACACCGUUCUUAUUGAUCAGUUUGACAACGAGUUAGCCGACAUGUACUGUACAUGUGUUUUGGCAAAGCUCGUGGUAAUGCACUGGCAUCGAGACGACUGUACCAAGAGCAUACAGUCAUCUUGCUGCCAAGGUGCGAGAGCAGAGUAUGUCACGUUGGAGUGGAAGGCGGACCUCUGCGGGAUGAGAUAUUUGGGGAGUGGGGGAACCAGUCAGGCCAACACAGCCGCCCACACUUGCCUCGUGCUACGCAAUGCCAUGUCAUUCAGCUUAGUUUGAGGUUCAAUUUAUGGCGUUGCUUGCGAUUUGGGACCCCGGGUGUCU